UCCAGGGUAGCCUAGUGGACAUGGCAUCUGCCCGGUAAGCGGAACACUGUGGGUUCGAUUCCCAUCCUUGGAA